AGGACGAACGCUGGCGGCGUGCUUAACACAUGCAAGUCGAACGGAAAGGCCCUGCUUUUGUGGGGUGCUCGAGUGGCGAACGGGUGAGUAACACGUGAGUAACCUGCCCUUGACUUUGGGAUAACUUCAGGAAACUGGGGCUAAUACCGGAUAGGAGCUCCUGCUGCAUGGUGGGGUUGGAAAGUUUCGGCGGUUGGGGAUGGACUCGCGGCUUAUCAGUCUUGGUUGGUGGGUAGUGGCUUACCAAGGCUUUGACGGGUAGCCGGCCUGAGAGGGU
rnacentral:rRNA from 1 species